rnacentral:rRNA from 1 species
GCGUGAGGGAUGAAGGCCUUCGGGUCGUAAACCUCUGUCGAGAGGGAAGAACGAUCAUCGGUCGAACAGGCCGGUGGUUUGACGGUACCUCCAAAGGAAGCACCGGCUAACUCCGUGCCAGCAGCCGCGGUAAUACGGAGGGUGCAAGCGUUGUUCGGAAUCAUUGGGCGUAAAGCGCGUGUAGGCGGCUUGGUAAGUCGGGUGUGAAAUCCCGGGGCUCAACCCCGGAAUUGCAUUCGAAACUACCUCGCUGGAGUCCCGGAGAGGGUGGCGGAAUUCCCAGUGUAGAGGUGAAAUUCGU